UACCAGCACCCCGAGUGGUCGGGACGAUUAUUGGGCCUAAAGCAUCCGUAGCCGGUCAUGCAAGUCUUCCGUUAAAUCCAGCCGCUCAACGGUUGGGCUGCGGAGGAUACUACGUGGCUAGGAGGCGGGAGAGGCAAGCGGUACUCAGUGGGUAGGGGUAAAAUCCGUUGAUCCAUUGAAGACCACCAGUGGCGAAGGCGGCUUGCCAGAAUGCGCUCGACGGUGAGGGAUGAAAGCUGGGGGAGCAA
rnacentral:rRNA from 1 species